CAACUACUCCCUCUGUCCCAAAAAGCUUGUCUUAGAUUUGUGUAGAAACGGAUAUAUCUAGACACGUUUUAGUGUUAGAUUCAUCUGUAUCUAGAUAAAUCCAAGACAAGAUUUUUAGGACGGUGGUAGUGUAAU
rfam:Triticum aestivum genome assembly, contig: Triticum_aestivum_CS42_TGACv1_scaffold_343788_4DL